AUUGAACGCUGGCGGCAUGCUUUACACAUGCAAGUCGAACGGUAACAGGCCUUCGGGUGCUGACGAGUGGCGAACGGGUGCGUAAUGCAUCGGAACGUACCCAGAGGUGGGGGAUAACGCAGCGAAAGCUGUGCUAAUACCGCAUGUGAUCUGAGGAUGAAAGCGGGGGACCGCGCAGCAAUGUUUGGCCUCGCGCCUUUGGAGCGGCCGAUGUCGGAUUAGCUAGUUGGUGGGGUAAAGGCCUACCAAGGCGACGAUCCGUAGCUGGUCUGAGAGGACGACCAGCCACACUGGAACUGAGACACGGCCCAGACUCCUACGGGAGGCAGCAGUGGGGAAUUUUGGACAAUGGGCGCAAGCCUGAUCCAGCAAUGCCGCGUGCGGGAAGAAGGCCUUCGGGUUGUAAACCGCUUUUGGCAGGAACGAAACGGUGUCCGCUAAUACCGGGCGCUAAUGACGGUACCUGAAGAAUAAGCACCGGCUAACUACGUG
rnacentral:rRNA from 1 species